rnacentral:rRNA from 1 species
UACGAGGGGGGCAAAUGUUGUUCGGAAUCACUGGGCGUAAAGGGAGCGUAGGCGGGUUCUUUAAGUAAGGUGUUUAAUCCCCGGGGCCCAACCCCGGACCGGCACUUUUAAACUGGGAAUCUUGAAUAGUGGAGAGGUCAGUGGAAUUGGGGGUGUAGCGGUGGAAUGCGUAGAGAUCCCCAAGAACACCAGUUGCGAAGGCGGCUGACUGGACACAUAUUGACGCUGAGGCUCGAAAGCAUGGGGAGCAAACAGG